GUUGUAGCUCAGUGGUAGAGCGCUUAUCUUGCAUGCGUGAGGUGCUGGGUUCAAUCCUCAGCACAACA
rnacentral:tRNA from 1 species